UCUUUCCUGAUAGCUUGCCUCCUGCAUAA
rnacentral:piRNA from 1 species